AUUGAACGCUGGCGGCAGGCCUAACACAUGCAAGUCGAGCGGAUGAAGGGAGCUUGCUCCUGGAUUCAGCGGCGGACGGGUGAGUAAUGCCUAGGAAUCUGCCUGGUAGUGGGUGAUAACGUCCGCAAACGGGCGCUAAUACCGCAUACGUCCUGAGGGAGAAAGUGGGGGAUCUUCGGACCUCACGCUAUCAGAUGAGCCUAGGUCGGAUUAGCUAGUUGGUGGGGUAAAGGCCUACCAAGGCGACGAUCCGUAACUGGUCUGAGAGGAUGAUCAGUCACACUGGAACUGGGACACGGUCCAGACUCCUACGGGAGGCAGCAGUGGGGAAUAUUGGACAAUGGGCGAAAGCCUGAUCCAGCCAUGCCGCGUGUGUGAAGAAGGUCUUCGGAUUGUAAAGCACUUUAAGUUGGGAGGAAGGGCAGUAAGUUAAGACCUUGCUGUUUUGACGUUACCAACAGAAUAAGCACCGGCUAACUUCGUG
rnacentral:rRNA from 1 species